CUCGUUUCAGCUCCUGAAAGAACUUCCCAAAAAAACCUGUCAUCACGGUCAUGGAAGACCACCGUCAUAGAAGACAGCCGCUUCUUCUUUCUGUGCCGGCGACAGAAGGGGAUGAUUUGGUGACCCCUCAGUCCAUAGGUGAGAAUGCGGUGGAUGGAGAAAAAUCAAGUGCUGCGGCGGCUUUGGCGGCGGCUGCUACUGCAGGCCGAAUGAAGAAUCCGUCAGUGAAAUCGAAAUCAGGACCUAAGACAGCAUGGCGGAAGCUCCUUUCUCAGUGUUCUCAGAUGAUCAACCUGCUAAAAGCAAUUAUGAAAACUCCUCAUUGUAUGUGUUGGAAUGGUUAUUACCAAGAAUUGGACUUCCAGACAAGAUUAUAGUGAAGGAUAGGAAGGUUCUUGAGGACAUAAGUGGUUAGGAAACCUCAUGACUAAAGUGAAAGCAACUAAGCAACCAGGGACAAUAAUGGACACAAUCUAAGAGAUUCAAGAGUGCCAUGACACACUGAUUGAUAUAGAGAGCAGCCUCAAUGAGCUUCAUCAAGUGUUCUUGGACAUGAUUGUUUUGGUCCAAUCACAAGGUAAGCAACUCAAUGACAUACAAAGCCACGAGUCAAGAGCCAAUUCGUAUGUCUGCCGUGGGUCCGGCAGUUUUAGUUUGCAAGGAAGCACCAGAAGAAUACCGGAAGUCCAUCUUCAUUGCCAUCAUAAUAUUGAUUUAUUAUAUUGAUUAUAGUCCUUCUUAUUGAUCAUUAUCAUAUUUACCUUUUGAAUUUCGGUUCAUGUAUAUGUUACACUCUAAAAUUCUUCCAAACCAUCUGAUAAUAAAUUUCAGGCGCAUGAACUAAAGUUUAGCAGAUAAAUAUAAUUUUGCUUUAAUUAAUGGGAUAUUGAUUGGUGGCUAUGAACAAAUUGGACUAAUUCAAAACAUUUCCCUUUUCAAGAUUGAGACUUUCAUGUUCAUGGUCUAGAAGGUUAUACUUGUAGUGAAAUAAGAGUGGCAAAGUUUGACAAAUGAAACAGUACAACACUAAUAAAAUGAAAAGUAUAGAGAAUUCAGAAUAUUUAAAUGGUUAAAGAAUGAAAAGGGAAUGAAUUAAGAUGAUGAUGAAGACAAUCUUGAAGAAUGUCAUAGUCUGUCCAAUUGCAUUCACUAACCUUCUCCAUUAGUUGAUAGCAGCUCGUUAUAAUUGGGGUUUAAUUCAUUAAUAGCCACUCUAAUCUCUUUUGCAUGCAUAUAAUUUUGUUUUUGGGGAUUUUGAAAAUUUUUUUUACAUGUAUCACAUGCUAUAAAUAUUGUUGAAUUACCUUGCUUGGAGUUUAUAUAUUGGAGGAAUGAGAUUAGUUGUUUUGCACCCUUAAA